AACCCGUAGAUCCGAACUUGCGGUACAGCUUCCUCACACAAGCUCGAGUCUGUGGGUAUG
rnacentral:pre_miRNA from 1 species